UUUAAUAGUUCUCGAAUAGGAGCCAAAUUUAAAAUCUGGAAAACUAUGAAACCUACAUAUAAAAUAUACUAAACGCGCUUGUUAGAGUAAAAUAUUAGUCUUUCAAUCGAGUUAAACUUAGCAAACAUGCCUGAAAGUGCAUGUGUAGACACAGACAACAAGAGAUCCAUAAGGUAAAUAAGAUAGUACAUAUUGCUCUUUUGAAAUUAAAAGAGAGACAACAAAACGGAAAGAUCAGGAAACAACUGCAGGAGGAAUAAUGGAUUUACUUCAUGAACCACCAAACGACACAAACACAAUUGAAAAAAGGAAGAAAAAUUCAUAAACCAACAACCCCUCAAGCCCUAUUCUCAAUAAAUCGGGGGCGAGCUGCAUAAAUUUCAUUCUACAGCUUCGUUCGAUUCAUUGAUAAAUCUGCAGAGUAACACAUUCUUAAUUGUGAUAAUAUAUAAAAAUACGAAAAUCCUGGAAGAAAGGCGUCACCUUCCCUUUGCCUCUAUGACUUGCCUUCGUGGUUUGUACUACCCUUCCAUAGAAAGAGUUUCAUAUCUUUUGCAUCAUUUUCUUUCUCUUCUUCUUCUUCUUCAUCAUCUUCGUCUCAACGUAAUGCGUUAACUGUACGGCGAUGGUUCAACUCCCUCAGAGUCCUAGGUUAUAUAUAACCUUGCUGCACCUAAGUGAUCUUCUUUGCUAAGAAACUAUUGCAACAUAGACAAUGGCAAUUUUGAAUGGUCCCCUACUAGUUCGUACUUAUCCAUUGCUAAGAAUAUUAUUGUUCUUCAAUAAUUUAAAUUAUCAAAGACAGGUGAAUGCUGUCCCUCCACCUGGUGAAAAAGCUACCCCUACCUUGUGUGUCUAGCUAAAAAGGGUCAGUCCAACUCCUUUUAUCGAGUGGAGAUUGAAAAGUUGAAACUCACAAUAUUGUGAGACUCUACACUUACAC
rnacentral:lncRNA from 1 species